UUUGACCCCAGGUUUCCCUUGAGGACUGCAGAGUUUGGUAACAGCCUGCACCCUUGUUUUUACCACCAAAGUACAAUCUCUGUCUCAGGAGCAGUUAGGUGCUCCCUUGAAAUGGUCAGGAGCCCCAGAAGGUCAUCUGUCACCUGUACAACUGUUUGUCAGCUGAGCAAGGACACACACGCCUCAGGACAGGAUGAGAGACCACCUGAGGAGCAGCAUGUCAUCAGAUCAGAAGAUUUUAUUUGGACAGCCUUGAUAAACUUGAGUCUCAAGUUUUUCCAAAACGAAAGUACUCAAGCUUUCUCCCCCAGAUUCAACAUCAUCUCUGGCAGCUGUCACCAAGAAAACUGCAGAGAGAAACAUGCAUCUUGCUUUUCAAAAAUUCCUAGAGGCCAAAGUGAUUUGAUCAAUUUAAAACCCAGUGGAGAUACACCACUCGCAGCGUGCCUGUGUCAACUGCGGAGGGAAUUACACAAGGUUUGGAUGCAUCAGCUACAGGAGACAGAGACUGCACUUCUUAUAAUCACGCUGCCACUGUUGGUUCUGGAGUAAUUGCCAUCUCUUAUUUCUCUUGUCCCUGCCCUCUUCCCUGGAAAGAUCACCUUCACUAAGCUCCCUUCAGGCCUGUGCUGUUUCCAAGGUUUCCGGCAUAGUGUGGAGGGACCAGUCUUCUCCUCCU
rnacentral:lncRNA from 1 species